AACAAAUCCACCAACAAGUUUUGGCUUUUGAAUCUUGCUUGAUUCCUGUUUUUUGGCCCAUGCGUUGGCCAGAGGAGAGGAGGGUUGCUGCUCUUCGGCAGAAUUCAUUAGACCUUCCAUAACCCCUGCAUACCUUGCCUAUCAAGCCUAUCGUGGCCUAUCAGACAGUGCUGUUAAGGUCAGUGAAGGUGAUGCAGAGAGACAGGGUGAUAAUGACCCCAGUCAUGUUGAUGAGGAUGGAGAAAAGGAACAGGAGGAACGGGAGGAGCUGCAAAAGAAAGAGGUGCAGCAGGAGGAGGUUGAUGGAGGUUCAAUAGAACCAGACAAAACAGUGACAGGACAUCUCUGUGGCCCCCCAGCUUGAGACUAGUGCCGCAUUAUUGUGAUGUCCCUGGUUCGAAUCUGGCCAUGGACCUUUAUUGCAUGGCAUCGAUCUUUUUUCUUUCCUGUGCCUCAACACUGGCAAACUGUCAAAUAAAAGGCAAACAUGCAGAAAA